GUCUCCCAGGUUGGAGACUCCAGGCUUUGGGAAGGUCGGGAUUCAUCCACCAAUUAAUCCCUAGAAAGGUGUGGAGGAGGGUCUGGAGGCUGGGGUGGGCCCGGGGACAGCCGGUCAGCAAGCUGGUCCCAGGGGCAGCUCCCAGGAUGAGGAUGGAGGGCUGCCCUGGUCUGAGGGGAGCACGGAGCAGCUCUCCCCCCGGAGCCCGGGACAGAGGCCUCACUCUUCCCGCAGCCACAGGGAACUUCCAGGGAACUGGACUUCGAGCCCAGAGAGAACGCCUCCAAAAUUCCUUCGGCUGUUUCUCCCCCGUCAACCGAGCGUCUAUUUAUAGACAUGGGAAUAUGCGUGGAGAAGGGACUGGAAGGAAAUACACAACAUGGAUAACACUGUCGGGAACAUCUUCAGAGGGAAAGUCUUUCUGUUCUUGAGAUUCCUGUCUUCAGUCAAAUUCUCCAACUUUCAGAUGUGAGCUGACGGCAUGAAAGGCUGCCACACACGAGGAAACAGUGAACUUGAACCCAAGUAUAGAGGCUCCUCGCAGGAAGGCAGGCGGUGAGGGGGCACCCCGCAUGGGUGAGGGGACACUCCGCAUGGGUGAUGGGGCACCCCGCAUGGGUGAGGGGGCACCCCGCAUGCUGGCGCUCGUGCUGUGCAUGGGGCGGGCUGCAGCUGCCUGGUGAGCGAGCGGUGGGGGGGAAGGGGGUCACCGAGCUCAGAGCUCCUCAGACUCCAGCACCAGAACAGACGGUUUCUGGGGCUGCUCCCUGCACCGCAGACCUGGGAACCCCAAGCCAUGGAGCUGCGUCCGCCAGCUUCCUGCCCAGCACAGACACCCAGACAGCGGCCCCGGGCCCGAAAGGCCGCCAUCACCCCCAGACUCGGGCAGUCAGCCCGCCCCCCUCCCCUCCACUCUCUCCGACCACUCCCCACCCCAGCCCCCGCCCCCCAGUCUCAGCUGCCUCUCCCACAGCUCCUGGGACCAGCUAGAACCUCAGCCAAAGGGGCCCCUUCCCUGGAGCCAUCUCCACAGACCAGGUCGCGUGGGGAGGGGGGCUCCCCCGGGAGCUGCGGAGACCACGACUGGGCCCGACCAGGGCGGCCUGGGCACCAGGAGCCACCCCCGCCGUCGGGCCAGGAGCCCCGAUGGCUGUGGCCUCUCUUGGCCCUGCUCCCCCCUGGUCUGGGCCAGGCGCUCCUCGGAGGGGUGCUGCCGGGCAGCCAGGGCUGGGGUCCCUGCCUGUCACACCGACCACCAAGCUGGUGUCGCCGGGAGAGAAAGACCCACGCGGUUCUCGCUGCUUUCCGCUCAGGACAGACGUGAAGCGGGGCCUGGGGCCCGGCCGGCCCCCGUCUGAGGCCCAGCAGGGGCCCUUCUCAGCCGUGUGACCGGCCUCGCUCCCGACCCUCCCGCAGCGUCAGCCUCCUCCUCUGUGUGAUGGCGAGGACCACAGGCCUCCCUCUCGGACCGAGAGGUAAAGGAGCGCAGGCUGUGGAGCCGGACACAGUGGGAUCGCGGACGGCCUCACGGGAGGAGCAGCGGCAGACAGGAAAGCUGAGCUCCUCCGACUGCAGGGCGCAAGGACCACGCAACAGAGAGGCGCCCCUUCCUCUUCUCUCUGGGGGACAUCGGUCUUGGUGCCCAAGCUGGAAGUCUGGACCUCCCUCCUCUUGGAAAUAUCCUGGAGCAGAAGCAAUAAGCUCGCCCACGAUGCCAUUUGCUCCUACUGUCCCGGCUGUGCCACGUGACCUGUGUUGGCCAAUGACAUUGAGCAGAAGUGACACAUGUCAUUGCCAAGGUGAGGCAGUAAGAAGCCCACACUCCAGUCUCUCUUGGGCCGCUAUGACGAUGGAGGGUUCCGGAUGGUGCAGCUGGGAGGCGGGGCUUCUGUCUGCCUGGGUCCCUAGGUGAGUCUGUGGAGCAGAACUGCCUGCUGACUGGCUGGUCACACAGUGUGAGCAAGAAACAAACUUUGGUUGUGUUCAGCCAGCAAGACCCAGGGCUGAUUGUUACUGCAGCAGCACCUGGCCUGCCCUGACUGCUUCAAGCUCCUGGCUCACUGGUCUACUUCAUGUUGUUCGUGGGGAGAUUAGCGUGCAGGAGGCAGCAAACAACACCCCACCCCUCUGGCCAACAGCCUUCAUCAAAGGAAUGCUUAGGAGCUAAUAUUCAGGGGCCCCAUGGUUCCCAUCUCACCAAAGCUUUAACGAACUUCUCUGAGGCUUGGGCCUGGGUCUGUGCCUUCCUUUGAAUUUCUCUACAGCGCUUGGUUGAACUCGGCCAUAAAGAUGGCCCUCUCUCUUAUCCCAAGGCAUGGAGAGGGCGCGAAGCCAGUGAGGUAGGGUGUGGGGCGCAGUUACAGUGUUUUGGCCAAGUUCAAGCCUCGGACUAAUGAAAGGACAGGGUCCUCUCAUUGCCACGUCCAAGUCCCAGCUGGAGGGCAGGGCCCUCCCGGCACAAUCAUAGCCAACGGCU